rnacentral:rRNA from 1 species
ACUGAGUGGCGGACGGGUGAGUAACGCGUGGGUAACCUGCCUCAUACAGGGGGAUAACAGUUAGAAAUAGCUGCUAAUACCGCAUAAGCGCACAGCUUCGCACGAAGCAGUGUGAAAAACUGAGGUGGUAUACGAUGGACCCGCGUCUGAUUAGCUAGUUGGUGAGGUAACGGCCCACCAAGGCGACGAUCAGUAGCCGGCCUGAGAGGGUGAACGGCCACAUUGGGACUGAGAUACGGCCCAGACUCCUACGGGAGGCAGCAGUGGGGAAUAUUGGGCAAUGGGGGAAACCCUGACCCAGCAACGCCGCGUGAAGGAAGAAGGCCCUCGGGUUGUAAACUUCUUUUACCCAGGGACGAAGAAAGUGGCCGGUACCUGGAGAAAAAAGCAACGGGCUAACUACGUGCCAGCAGCCGCGGUAUUACUUAGGUUGCCAGCCGUGGCCCGGAUUUACUGGGGGGUAAAGGGCGUGUAGGCGGAGAUGCAAGUCAGGAGUGAAAUCCCGGGGCUCAACCCCGGAACUGCUUUCAAAACUGUAUCCCUUGAGUGUCGGAGAGGCAAGCGGAAUUCCUAGUGUAGCGGUGAAAUGCGUAGAUAUUAGGAGGAACACCAGUGGCGAAGGCGGCUUGCUGGACGAUAACUGACGCUGAGGCGCGAAAGCGUGGGGAGCAAACAGGAUUAGAUACCCUGGUAGUCCACGCUGUAAACGAUGAAUACUAGGUGUGGGAGGACUGACCCCUUCUGUGCCGCAGUUAACACAAUAAGUAUUCCACCUGGGGAGUACGACCGCAAGGUUGAAACUCAAAGGAAUUGACGGGGGCCCGCACAAGCAGUGGAUUAUGUGGUUUAAUUCGACGCAACGCGAAGAACCUUACCAGGGUUUGACAUCCAACUAACGAAGUAGAGAUACAUUAGGUGCCCUUCGGGGAAAGUUGAGACAGGUGGUGCAUGGUUGUCGUCAGCUCGUGUCGUGAGAUGUUGGGUUAAGUCCCGCAACGAGCGCAACCCCUAUUGUUAGUUGCUACGCAAGAGCACUCUAGCGAGACUGCCGUUGACAAAACGGAGGAAGGCGGGGACGACGUCAAAUCAUCAUGCCCCUUAUAUCCUGGGCUACACACGUAAUACAAUGGUGGUUAACAGAGGGAAGCAAUACAGCGAUGUGGAGCAAAUCCCUAAAAGCCAUCUCAGUUCGGAUUGCAGGCUGCAACUCGCCUGCAUGAAGCUGGAAUUGCUAGUAAUCGCGGAUCAGCAUGCCGCGGUGAAUACGUUCCCGGGC